UCCUGAAACACGUUAGUUUAUUUUCAUAUACGAGAAUGCGGUUUCUCGGAUCCGUAUUUUUUUCCCCUAGACUAUAUACUUUACGUGCCCAUUGCCCACUCGUGUCUAAAUAAACUACAGAUAUAGGCGUGCCAGCUAUAUACAUUUAUUUUCGCCAUUACUAUGCGCAUGCGGUAUAAAAUACAAUGUCUACAUUGUCUUAGAAUAAACGACGAUACUUUAAACUCAAAAAAUAAUAAAGGAUUGAAAUGGAAUAAAUCAUACUAGUAUAAGAUAUACGAUUUUUUUUAAAAAAUAUUUUUAUAAUAAUUUGGAUGUAUUUUAAUGUGCAAAAAUUGUCAAUAUUUUAAACACUCAAAGUAUUUUGAACAUUUUAUUAAUUGAUUGU